rnacentral:rRNA from 1 species
GAGACUGCCAGUGAUAAACUGGAGGAAGGUGGGGAUGACGUCAAGUCAUCAUGGCCCUUACGAGUAGGGCUACACACGUGCUACAAUGGCGCAUACAAAGAGAAGCGACCUCGCGAGAGCAAGCGGACCUCAUAAAGUGCGUCGUAGUCCGGAUUGGAGUCUGCAACUCGACUCCAUGAAGUCGGAAUCGCUAGUAAUCGUGGAUCAGAAUGCCACGGUGAAUACGUUCCCGGGCCUUGUACACACCGCCCGUCACACCAUGGGAGUGGGUUGCAAAAGAAGUAGGUAGCUUAACCUUCGGGAGGGCGCUUACCACUUUGUGAUUCAUGACUGGGGUGAAGUCGUAACAAGGUAACCGUAGGGGAACCUGCGGUUGGAUCACCUCCUU